UAAAAAGUCAUUAAAAUGGUCUCAGUGCAGGUGGGGUCUGGUUAUCGGGUGGUUGUAUAACUUUAGAUAUGAAUCGGGUCAUAUAGAUCGGCAUGUAGGCCAGAAAGCCUUGGGCUUCUCUCCCUGGGGCAGCGUUGAUCCACAUCAAUUAUGGUGAGCAAGUCCCACUCCAGGAUGUAAUUAUUAAGCAAGUUGAUUUUUGUUUCCCUGUGUUUUGUGGAGCUAAUUAGUCUCUAGCUCCUCGAUGACCAUGACUUUUAUGGUCACCUUCAGGUAAUAAAAGGUCUUCUAAUCAGUAAUUAAUACUUUUAAUUCAGAGUAAGAACCAAAACUUUCAACUUCCUUCAAGGUUAUAGCUGCACCGCUUUCCCGGCUGCUGUCGCCAGUUACGUGCAGUGGGAGGGAGGGGAGGAGCUGAUUUCUUAGUUUUUCUCCAACUUAUGCUUUCACCCAUCAGUUCCUCUCCCCCACACUCUGAUUUCUUACCUCUGUGAGGUUAGAGGAGAGAAGAGAGGAAAAGGAAAGGAAUGUUCCAGGCUUGUCUUUUUAUUUUUUUAAAUUAUUUUAUUGAUGUAUAUUAUUAUAUAUGAGUUUCUGUAUAGACUGCAUUAUACUGACCUCCAAUAAUCUAGAUUUUAUCUGUCACCAUACAUGUGUGCCCCAUUACCCCUUUCGCCCUCCACUCACCCCCUUUCUCUCUGGUAAUCACAGUUCUGUUCUUAUCCAUGUGUUUGUUUAUCUUCCACAUACGAGUGAAAACAUGGUGUUUAUCUUUGUCUGGCUUAUUUCACUUAGCAUAAUACCAUCAAAGUCCAUCCAUGUUGUCACAAGUGGCAUGAUUUUGUCUUUUUCAAUGGCUGAGUGGUAUUCCAUUCUAUAUAUGUAUACUAAAUCUUCUUUAUCCAUACAUCUGUUGAUGGGCACUUGGGUUGCUUCCAUGUCUCGGCUAUUGUGAAUAAUGCUGCAAUGAACAUAGGAAUGCAUAAAUGUCUUUGAAUUGCUGAUUUCAUGUUCUUUGGAUAAAUACUCAGUAGUGGGAUGGCUGGAUCAUAUGGUAUUUCUACUUUUACUUUUUUGAGAACUCUCCAUACUGUUUUCCAUAAUGGCUGUACCAGUUUGCAUUCCCACCAGCAGUGCAUGAGGGUUCCCUUUUCUCUGCAUUCCAACAUUUGUUAUUUUUUGUCUUGUUAAUUAUAGUCAUUCUGAUGGGUGUAAGGUGAUAUCUCAUUGUCAUUUUGUUUUGCAUUUCCCUAAUAAUUAGUAUGUUGAACAUCUUUUCAUGUGCCUAUUGGCCAUCUGUGUAUCUUCUCUGGAAAAAUGUCUUCUUCAUAUCCUCUGCCCAUUUUUUGAUCAGUUGUCUGUUUUUUUGUUGUUGAGUUGUUUGAGUUCUUUAUAUAUUUUGGAGAUUAACCCCUUGUCAGAUAUAUGAUUUGCAAAUAUUUUCUCCCGGUUAGUGGGUUGUCUUUUCAUUUUGUUCAUGGUUUCCUUUGCUUUGCAGAAAGUUUUAGUCUGAUAUAGUCCUAAUUGUUUAUUUUUUUCUUUUCUUUCCCUUGCCUGAGUAGACAUGGUAUUUGAAAAAAAUACUGCUAAGACCAAUGUCAGAGUGUACUGCCUAUAUUUUCCUCUAGGAGUUUUAUGGUUUCAGGUCUUACAUUCAAGUCCUUAAUCCAUUUUGAGUUAAUUUUCAUGUACGGUGUAAGAUAAUGGUCUACUUUCAUUCUUUUGCACAUGACUGUCCAGUUUUCCCAACACCCUUUAUUGAAGAGUCUUUCCUUUCUCCAUUGUAUGGUCUUGGCUCCUUUGUCGAAGAUUACCUGUCCAUAGAUGUGUGGCUUUAUUUCUGGGCUUUCAAUUUUCAGCCUUGUCUUUACUGCAGAUAAAAGAUCUGUAGUAUAAGAGGAUGUCUCGAAAGAACCCACAAAGAAUAAAGCACCCCCAUAAGAGAAUCUGCUGUAAACUCUGCCAACCCCAGAGAGCGAGAGGUCCGGCAAAGACAGACUUGGAACUUUCCUUUCCCUUCCUGCCUUGUCCUCCCUUUCUCUCUUUUACCCUGAUUUCCCCAGCUUCCCCAGCUUCUCCACGCUCCUGUCCUACAUGUUGCCUAAUUUCUGCCUCCUCUUCCCCCUCAAGUGUGGGUGUUUCUUAACCUUGUGUCUUUGACCUUCUUCUCAUGUUUUUCUGUACUCUGGCUAUUGUUUUUCAUGUGCUCCCGAGGCUUCAACUCUUACUGUGGAUGGCUGCCAAUCUGCAUUCCCAGCCCUCUCCGUCCUCUGAGUCCUGGUUCUGAGUUCCUGCUGGGAAUCUUGAACUGAAGGUCCAUAGUCUUCUGAAGUUUCCCAUGUCUCAAAGUCAAGUCAUCCCUCCUUUGUCUCUCCUCCACCUUCCUCUCACUUCCCAGUUUUUCUUGCCUGCACCACUGUUCUCUCUCUAUCCAGGCUGCCUAUCACCGUCUGCUUCUCCUUCUUCCUGACUCUCUGCUUCAAAUCCGCCACCAGCUCCUUACAUUCUGCCUUUAUAAUAGCUUUUGAAUACAUCUCCUCCUCUGCGUCACAGCUGCUCCUCCCCUAGCACCGCCAUUCAGAGGCAAUAACUGUUAACAUUUUGAUGCGUAUUUUUCCAGCUUUUUUUCCCUGUCGAUAUAAGUAAAUAAGUAAAUAAAUAAAUAAAUAAAUAUUAUACAUGUACUUUUACAAACUAUUAUCAUAGUGUUCACAUUAUUGUAUAAACUCAUUUUUUUCGCUUAAUAAUGUAUUGUGAAACUCUUUCUAAAUAAUUUCAUAUUCGUCCACAAUAAUUUUCAAAUAUAGUGGCAGUUGAGGACUUGGGGUUUUGUCUUCUGUGUCUCAAACAGAGUCCUCAUGGCCUUUUUCUCCUCUUCAGUUAAUGGUGACCUAAACUCCCAUGGAAGAAAGAGGAAAAGAAAAUUAUGCUUAACGUAUGGCAUAUCCUGUCCCGGUGCACCGAACUUAUUAGGAACUGGGUAUGGCAUGAGGUGGACCCAGACGUCAGACUUAGGAUGAGUGUGUAACAGAUGUGUGUUGAAUAGGGGAAAGGUGACAUAGGAGGUGGGACUCGAAGCAGAGUCUGGUCAGGUUGACAAAAGCCAUCACCUGGCCUGGCCCUGGACAGGUCAGAGGGCCACUCCCCAAAGGGCUUGUGCAACAUCGAUGAAGACACCCCAGCAGACUUGUCUUCUUGCUUUCACAGUGGAGAGGCACUCGGUGAUCAGGGACAAGCAGUCCCAGCCUGGGGUUUUCCUGGGGACUUUGAAUGCUAAAAUGAGACAGUCUGGGUAAACCAGGACAGUUGACCACCCUACUCAGUGAGUCCCACCCGAGGUUCAAAUUCUCCUCGUAAAGGAUGUGGGUUGAUUCCAGAACCUUUGAAACCAUCAUCUCACCUCUACAGGAACCUUGAGUGUGGUGUCUGAGAGGAGAGUUAUAGCUCCCAGCCAGAAUCCUUUUAUAUGUGAGAGAAAUAAAUGUGAAUCAUUUUUAUAUCGCUGUUAUUCUGGAUUCUCUGUCACUAACAGUCAAACCAAAUUCCUACUGAUAAGACUGUAUAAAAGUAAUACUAAUUAAAUUCAUUUACAUAAGCCCACCAAUUUCACUCUUAAUUACUGUGAUGCGCAAUAAUGAAGUACACACCCCAACAUACCAUUGUAAGUUUUAUUUGAUUUCAGCACUAAACUUAGUUUAUAGAUAUGCUUGGCUUCUUUCAACAGUUUGUUGAUUACAUAGUAUAAUCAUCCACUGACAACUUAAAAAACAUGGGAGGAGACAUAUUUCUUCCAGUGUGUGAAUGGAGGCCCAGGGCACCACGCCCCACUGUUGAAUUGGAAUAAAUGGAUCAAUCCUUUUUGAACAGAGUCUGAGAGACAGCAUUAACACACACCUCAUGGCCAAAGUACAUUUUAUUCAGCCUUUGCCGCAUGCAGUUGUUUUUGGGGACAUGGUGUGACCCUUGGCAUAUCUGCAUCUGUGAAAUAAUAAGCCAUUCUUUAAAUCAAGAUUUUGCAGCAUUACGAAUGCUUGGAGAGGGUUUUCAAAAUUAUUAUUCUAGUGCUAGUCUGCUUCCCUUCUUUCUCUUAAAUAAUCUGCAUUAGGCAUUCAAAAGGUCCACUCAUCCCAGGACAUGACUAGAGCUAAUUUGCUGAGAGCCUCUGAGCACCGCCCAGCCCUGCUCAGGACAUCUGCUGGGAACUUAAAUCAUUUUAAGUGGAGGAAUUAGCCUCCUGUUUUCUGCUGGGAAAGAAACGUGACUCUGGGUAUUCCGCACCAGGCUUUUAAUGGUGGAAAUGAACUAUGCUGCAGAUAUACAAAAGAAAAAUAAAUCCAUCUUCUUUUACUAGGAGCUUGACACUUUUAUUUAGAAAAUUUACAUUUCUGAAUGCUUCCUUCGUACAUUACAGAUGCAUUUCAAAUGUGACUCUGUUAGGUUAAUAGUCUACGCCUUAAAAACAGAUCAGGAUGAAAGUGGGAUUUGAGGCCACUUUGAAGGAAGAAAGAAAGAAGAGAGAGGAUUUAGCUAAUGAUAAGAUGAAUCAAAGAGCAUAACAAAUUCUUUUCUUGCAAAAGCAGAGAAAUUCUGAUAAGCCUGAAAGACUCUGAAUAGAGAAACAUGCUCUUGUAAAUUACUUUUGCAUCAGCACUUACCUCCCCAAGACUUUAACAUGGAAAAUCUAAAUGGGAAUUCUAUAUAAUGGACCAUCAUCCACAAUAUAUCAGUUAUGGAUGUACAUACUGUGUGUGUUUUUAAUAUGCUUUUCUAUCUGUGGUUUCAGUGUUGAAUGCUGUUUUCUCCGCACAUAGAACAAACUGAAAGACAGCUUGGAAUUGACUUCUGCACAUUGCCACACCACUACGACAACGGCUCCAAUCUGAGUAAGAUUCAGGAGUGAAAUCGAUGCAAGGAGCUCCAUGGAAGUAGGAUUGAAUGCCUCUGGUCUUUUGGCAAGCUGUUUUCAUCAAGUCAUAGCAAGUAUCACGUCUCAAGCCAUCAUAUGACAAGACAUUCUUGAUGUCUGGGUGGCCCAGAUCCCUGUACAGGAUGCUCUGGACUUUCCAGGACCAUGAUCCCCUUGCUGUCAAAGCUGGGCCAAGGCUACCCUGCGCUUCGGCUCUCCAGGAGCGUUGGCAGCAUUUUCAACGCUGUUGGAAGAGACUCAGUCAAAGACAUGGCUUGUUGCUGAGCCCCCGGCACACCAGCUCUGCUUCUUAGACGGGACCUUCUUGCUGUCCUUCACAGUGGUCAUUCUUCCGAUUCUAUGUGUUUAGUCCCCUUGGUGCCCUGCAUCCAUCUGUAAGAAGAGAGACCCUGCCUGACUGGGUACUGAGGUGUCCUGAUUAUAGACAUUGAAUCCCCAUUGAUGAGAGUGUAUCUCAGUUCUAGAUUCUUUCGCAGGAGCAGCCAGAGACUGGUUUCGCCUCUCCUUAAGGAAGGAGGUACCACUGUACAAUCUAAGGCAGAGGGAAGAUGUGCUAGUUAUACAGAUCGUCUCCCCGCAUAUUUAUGAGGCAACCUUUUUCUAAAGCCAGCGAAAGUAGGUAAUCAUUACAUCUCCUGGGUGAGGUGGUAAACAACUCACGCUCCGACCGGCAGAGCAUAUCUGUGGGCUCACAGUUCAAGUCAACCGUGCAGGGAGGAGGGAACUAGAGGAAAUGCAGUUUCGUUUCCCAGUAACUCCCCCCACCUGAAUUAAGGUGGGAAAGGAGGAGAACAUCUGUAAAAAUAACAGCAUGCAAACUUCAGAAGGACGGGACCAUGCCCGCUUAACAGCAGUUUGAGUCCUACAUGCUUAAAAAAUCCGCAGGGAUGAAUCACCGUUCUAGAAUUCUGGAUAAUCUCUGCAUAUGGCAAAGAACGACACCAGCUGAAUAAAGCCAAGGGACAUCUGCCUGCCUGGACACCAAAGACAUUAGCAACUGGAUGGAAAGAAAGAAAUCCAAAUGUUCAUUCUCAGAGAAUCAUCGUUUCAUUGACUUGAUCACUGACAGACAUCUUCAGCGUGAUUACAAGAGAAUUUUGAACAUAUCAAAGACUCUCAGGUUACCGCUGAGAUUUUCUUCUAAGCCUUUGUAAAUAUAGUGAUUAAUAAAGAAAUUUCAAGGCCCCACAAUCAUGGGCUGUGAUCACACGAAUGUGAAUUAUUAACACCAAAUAACCAAAAUGAUUUCUAUCUGUCAUGUGGUCACAUAGAAAGUGGUGGGAGCACAGCUGAGCCACUAGGGAAGACCCAAGAUUUCAUUGUUUUCCUGUGAGUGUCUGAGUGUUAAUGUGAAUUCCGAGGAUGCUUUUAUGUGCAGCACUGUAGGCAGAGCUGCCACUUGCUGUCCUGUGAGUCCCAGAACUCCCCUGACUUGGCAGCCCACAGGGUGCCCCAUGUCCACUGAGCCCUGCCAGCCCUGCGGUGAGCAGGCCUAUCAAAUACAGACAUUGCCGGUUUCUGACUCUCAAGUGUCUUACAGAAAAUAGAGCCAGGAGCUCCAUCUGGCAUUCUGUUUGCUAAAUGUCCCAUUGAUGUCAAAUACCAGGAAAUGUGGCUGUUUAAAAUCCCAGGGAAGAAGAUUUCCACUCAGCAGCUUCCUAAUGGACACACACACUCGGUGAAGCAGAAGCCCUCAGCUGCAGUCUAGUCACAGGCUCUUGCACACCAGCUCUCGGGGCCUCCACUGUGAGGUCGGAAGACACAUGGCUGAGGGAAAUGGACUCUUCAGCUUCGGCGGCUUAUUCUAUGCUGGAAGCCGAUAGAGGGCAGUGUUGCAAAAGCCUGCAAAAGGCCACACUCCACAGCCUACCAGGACCACCACAGCGCUUACCUCCGGCCUUCUUCCACACUCCUGUACCAGUUUAAUGAUGAACAGGAGCAAUUAAAGCAGCUAUUCCACAAAACAUACGGCUUCUGGUCAAAGCUUGUUAUUGCUUCAUCACCUCUUUGAUAUUACAAAUGGCCUCAUAAUAAUUUUUAAUCAUUAUUCCUCACCAGUGCUUUUCUGCAGAAGGCCACAUCCAUUAGCCUCACUUUUCAGAAGACUGAGAUCCAGAAAGGUGACCUGGAUGGCUUGAGUUACGCAGUCCAGAACCAGAAAGGGCUAGAAAGAACACUCAGGGUUUCUGCACUAUAUGCUGGGGAGUUCUCAAAAUAUGCAUACUUUGCUAUCUUUGAGUGAAAACCAUUAACAGCCUUCAUUUGCUCCUGAUUAAUUAGGGAUGGUUGUCUGGUUUGGCAGUUAAUAGACAGGACCCCUGUCCCCACCGUCCCCUAAUUGCCCUUUAUCUCAGUUGAAGUUGAUAACUAAUGACCAAACCAGCUAAUUAGGCCCAUCUGCAGCCCAAGAAAGGCAUUAGGGAGGGAUGGGAAACCGACACAUGAAAU
rnacentral:lncRNA from 1 species